UAGGGAAUCUUCGGCAAUGGACGAAAGUCUGACCGAGCAACGCCGCGUGAGUGAAGAAGGUUUUCGGAUCGUAAAACUCUGUUGUUAGAGAAGAACAAGGACGUUAGUAACUGAACGUCCCCUGACGGUAUCUAACCAGAAAGCCACGGCUAACUACGUGCCAGCAGCCGCGGUAAUACGUAGGUGGCAAGCGUUGUCCGGAUGUAUUGGGCGUAAAGCGAGCGCAGGCGGUUUCUUAAGUCUGAUGUGAAAGCCCCCGGCUCAACCGGGGAGGGUCAUUGGAAACUGGGAGACUUGAGUGCAGAAGAGGAGAGUGGAAUUCCAUGUGUAGCGGUGAAAUGCGUAGAUAUAUGGAGGAACACCAGUGGCGAAGGCGGCUCUCUGGUCUGUAACAGACGCUGAGGCUCGAAAGCGUGGGGAGCAAACAGG
rnacentral:rRNA from 1 species